AUUGAACGCUGGCGGCAUGCCUUACACAUGCAAGUCGAACGGCAGCGGACCUUCGGGUGCCGGCGAGUGGCGAACGGGUGAGUAAUAUAUCGGAACGUACCUUUCAGUGGGGGAUAACGUAGCGAAAGUUACGCUAAUACCGCAUAUUCUGUGAGCAGGAAAGCAGGGGAUCGCAAGACCUUGCGCUGAUUGAGCGGCCGAUAUCAGAUUAGCUAGUUGGUGAGGUAAAGGCUCACCAAGGCGACGAUCUGUAGCGGGGUCUGAGAGGAUGAUCCGCCACACUGGAACUGAGACACGGUCCAGACUCCUACGGGAGGCAGCAGUGGGGAAUUUUGGACAAUGGGCGCAAGCCUGAUCCAGCCAUGCCGCGUGAGUGAAGAAGGCCUCGG
rnacentral:rRNA from 1 species